rnacentral:rRNA from 1 species
UACAGAGGUCUCAAGCGUUGUUCGGAUUCAUUGGGCGUAAAGGGUGCGUAGGUGGCGCCGUAAGUCGGAUGUGAAAUUUCGGAGCUUAACUCCGAAACUGCAUUCGAUACUGCGGUGCUUGAGGACUGGAGAGGAGACUGGAAUUCAUGGUGUAGCGGUGAAAUGCGUAGAGAUCAUGAGGAAGACCAGUGGCGAAGGCGGGUCUCUGGACAGUUCCUGACACUGAGGCACGAAGGCCAGGGGAGCAAACGGG